GGCAGUCAUGGCUGCCAUGGAAUCCAACCAAGAGAGAGGAGAGAGAAAGAGAGAGAGAGAGAGAAAUUUUGGUCUUGCUUGGUAUGGAUUUAUGAAAACAUUUUUCUAUUUUUAUAGUAAAAAAUUUUUGAAAACUGCAAAACAAGUCUACUUGGAUCUGUUUUAUAAAAACAGUUUUUUGAAAACUGAGAUAACAGAGUUGAGGUUUUCAGAGAACAACAGUUUGUUGUUUUCAGAGUUUUGGGAACACUGAGAUGCAAAAUUGGAAAACACAGAGAACUGAAGGCUACUUAAAAAGUACGGACAAAACUGCGUAAAACUCUCACUCGUUUAUAACACAAAGUCUCGCAGCAUCCAUCUUCUCUCUCUUCAACCUCUCUGCAAUGCAUCGUCUCUCUCUUCAACCUCUCUUUCUGAUCUCAUUUAUAACAUUAAAUUAGCUGUACAAGGGUUUUGAUCUUUUAUCUCCAGAUUCUCCUCCUCUUUGAAGAGCCCUCUCUCAAAUUUCUUCAAGCCAGAUCUGCACUUCUUUCCUCACAAUUGUCUCUCUGUUUAGUUGCAGGAUCAGUCGCGGUCGCCUUCAAAUCCGCCGAAGUUGCAGAGAAAUCUAGACUUUCCGGUGCUCAUUUCAGGCAACACUUUUUCAUUUCCGGACGCACUGGGUCGAUUAAGCUCCCAAAUCGCAUCAACUUGGAUUGCAGAUCGAGGAGAUCGUUUGCUUCCUCCGAUAUAACUUUUGUUUCCUUUUUUAACCUUUUGAUGCUCACAUGAUCACAUCUAAAUUUGUGACCUGUUUAUGUAUAUUUAUAUGAAUGUGCAUGUUUACAAAUGUGAAAGCAUGAACAAUUUGAGUUGGAUAUUCCAUGGAAUUUAAAUC